rnacentral:piRNA from 1 species
UUCUAUUGAGGUAGUGCACGAAGCCCACA